GACGAACGCUGGCGGCGUGCUUAACACAUGCAAGUCGAACGGAAAGGCCCUUCGGGGUACUCGAGUGGCGAACGGGUGAGUAACACGUGGGUGAUCUGCCCUGCACUUCGGGAUAAGCCUGGGAAACUGGGUCUAAUACCGGAUAUACCUCAGUGGUUGCAUGACUGUUGGGGGAAAGCUUUUGCGGUGUGGGAUGGGCCCGCGGCCUAUCAGCUUGUUGGUGGGGUGAUGGCCUACCAAGGCGUCGACGGGUAGCCGGCCUGAGAGGGUGUCCGGCCACACUGGGACUGAGAUACGGCCCAGACUCCUACGGGAGGCAGCAGUGGGGAAUAUUGCACAAUGGGCGCAAGCCUGAUGCAGCGACGUCGCGUGGGGGAUGACGGCCUUCGGGUUGUAAACCUCUUUCAGUAGGGACGAAGCGCAAG
rnacentral:rRNA from 1 species